rnacentral:rRNA from 1 species
GACGAACGCUGGCGGCGUGCCUAAUACAUGCAAGUCGAACGCUGAAGAGAGGAGCUUGCUCUUCUUGGAUGAGUUGCGAACGGGUGAGUAACGCGUAGGUAACCUGCCUUGUAGCGGGGGAUAACUAUUGGAAACGAUAGCUAAUACCGCAUAACAAUGGAUGACACAUGUCAUUUAUUUGAAAGGGGCAAUUGCUCCACUACAAGAUGGACCUGCGUUGUAUUAGCUAGUAGGUGAGGUAAUGGCUCACCUAGGCGACGAUACAUAGCCGACCUGAGAGGGUGAUCGGCCACACUGGGACUGAGACACGGCCCAGACUCCUACGGGAGGCAGCAGUAGGGAAUCUUCGGCAAUGGGGGCAACCCUGACCGAGCAACGCCGCGUGAGUGAAGAAGGUUUUCGGAUCGUAAAGCUCGGUUGUAAGUCAAGAACGGGUGUGAGAGUGGAAAGUUCACACUGUGACGGUAGCUUACCAGAAAGGGACGGCUAACUACGUG